GGAAACAUUUUUUCAAAUUUUAAAAUUCAGUCAAAACAAUUAAUCCCAAAUUAAUUGAGCAAUCAAACACCAAAAUUACUCCCAUUCCACGUUUCAGCAAUUAUUCCCCUCUUCACCCAUUCUUGCAAAUCUUUCCUAAUUUUUAGACCACAAUCAAAGUGAAAUCAAUCACCAAAAAUGACUCUCAAUACACGGCUAUAUAAAUCCUCAUACCCUAAUCUCUUUCCCUCACACAAAUUCGCAGCCACUCACUUCUUCACAAAACGGCGGAGGGAGCAGUAGAAAGGAAUUUCGUUUUUUUUUCCUCACUAAAUCCUAAUUUCAUCACGGAUCGAUUCGGGAGGGGGAGAAGCCAGAAGCUCCAAUCUUUUGUUUCAAGCCAAUUUGUUCUUUCGAAGGUGAUAUCUUGCGCGCGAAACAUGAUUCCAAGGGAAAGGAUAUAGUUGAGACUUAAGCGCUUUGAGGUUGAGCGGCGACGAGCGGUUGGCGGUGUUGAGAAAAUUAAAUAAAUUGAUAGUAUUGUCUUGAAACUCCGAGUGUCGUCUUGUCUUCACACACGACUUCACUCUUCUCUUGGAUGCUUCCGCUGAAACCUGUUUUACUUAUUUUUGGUUGAUCUUGAAACUAUUUUGAUUUCCGUUUAGAAUCUAAAGGCGUGAUAUGUUUUAGAGUACGUUGAACCCUUGUUAUUUUGAAUAUCAAUGAUGAUAAUUGUAU